AAAUUGAAGAGUUUGAUCAUGGCUCAGAUUGAACGCUGGCGGCAGGCCUAACACAUGCAAGUCGAGCGGUAGCACAGAGAGCUUGCUCUCGGGUGACGAGCGGCGGACGGGUGAGUAAUGUCUGGGAAACUGCCUGAUGGAGGGGGAUAACUACUGGAAACGGUAGCUAAUACCGCAUAAUGUCGCAAGACCAAAGUGGGGGACCUUCGGGCCUCAUGCCAUCAGAUGUGCCCAGAUGGGAUUAGCUAGUAGGUGGGGUAACGGCUCACCUAGGCGACGAUCCCUAGCUGGUCUGAGAGGAUGACCAGCCACACUGGAACUGAGACACGGUCCAGACUCCUACGGGAGGCAGCAGUGGGGAAUAUUGCACAAUGGGCGCAAGCCUGAUGCAGCCAUGCCGCGUGUGUGAAGAAGGCCUUCGGGUUGUAAAGCACUUUCAGCGGGGAGGAAGGCGGUGAGGUUAAUAACCUCACCGAUUGACGUUACCCGCAGAAGAAGCACCGGCUAACUCCGUGCCAGCAGCCGCGGUAAUACGGAGGGUGCAAGCGUUAAUCGGAAUUACUGGGCGUAAAGCGCACGCAGGCGGUCUGUCAAGUCGGAUGUGAAAUCCCCGGGCUCAACCUGGGAACUGCAUUCGAAACUGGCAGGCUAGAGUCUUGUAGAGGGGGGUAGAAUUCCAGGUGUAGCGGUGAAAUGCGUAGAGAUCUGGAGGAAUACCGGUGGCGAAGGCGGCCCCCUGGACAAAGACUGACGCUCAGGUGCGAAAGCGUGGGGAGCAAACAGGAUUAGAUACCCUGGUAGUCCACGCCGUAAACGAUGUCGAUUUGGAGGUUGUGCCCUUGAGGCGUGGCUUCCGGAGCUAACGCGUUAAAUCGACCGCCUGGGGAGUACGGCCGCAAGGUUAAAACUCAAAUGAAUUGACGGGGGCCCGCACAAGCGGUGGAGCAUGUGGUUUAAUUCGAUGCAACGCGAAGAACCUUACCUGGUCUUGACAUCCACAGAACUUAGCAGAGAUGCUUUGGUGCCUUCGGGAACUGUGAGACAGGUGCUGCAUGGCUGUCGUCAGCUCGUGUUGUGAAAUGUUGGGUUA
rnacentral:rRNA from 1 species